GACGAACGCUGGCGGCGUGCUUAACACAUGCAAGUCGAGCGGAGCGGCGAACGGGUGAGUAACGCGUGAGUAACUGGCCCCCUCUCUGGGAUAACAGUUGGAAACGGCUGCUAAUACCGGAUAGUGGGGGAUGACGCGCGUACUAUCAGCUUGGUGGUGGGGUAGUGGCCUAACAAGGCGACGACGGGUAGCCGGCCUGAGAGGGCGACCGGCCACAUGGGGAUGAGAAACGGCACAAGCUCCUACGGGAGGCAGCGGUGGGGAAUACUGCGCGAUGGGGGAAACCCUGAUGCAGCAACGCCGCGUGCGGGAUGACGGCCUGCGGGUUGUAAACCGCUUUCACCCAUGACGCGGUAGUGGCAGACGGAGCACCGGGUAACUACGUGCCAGCAGCCGCGGUAAUAC
rnacentral:rRNA from 1 species